AUUGAACGCUGGCGGCAGGCUUAACACAUGCAAGUCGAGCGGUAGCACAGGGGAGCUUGCUCCCUGGGUGACGAGCGGCGGACGGGUGAGUAAUGUCUGGGAACUGCCUGAUGGAGGGGGAUAACUACUGGAAACGGUAGCUAAUACCGCAUAACGUCGCCAGACCAAAGAGGGGGACCUUCGGGCCUCUUGCCAUCAGAUGUGCCCAGAUGGGAUUAGCUAGUAGGUGGGGUAAUGGCUCACCUAGGCGACGAUCCCUAGCUGGUCUGAGAGGAUGACCAGCCACACUGGAACUGAGACACGGUCCAGACUCCUACGGGAGGCAGCAGUGGGGAAUAUUGCACAAUGGGCGCAAGCCUGAUGCAGCCAUGCCGCGUGUGUGAAGAAGGCCUUCGGGUUGUAAAGCACUUUCAGCGAGGAGGAAGGUGGUGAGCUUAAUACGUUCAUCAAUUGACGUUACUCGCAGAAGAAGCACCGGCUAACUCCGUG
rnacentral:rRNA from 1 species